AAUCAACGCUGGCGGCGUGCCUCAGACAUGCAAGUCGAACGAUUAAAGCUCUCUUCGGAGAGUGCAUAGAGUGGCGCACGGGUGAGUAACACGUAAGUAAUCUACCUUCGAGUGGGGGAAUAACGUCCGGAAACGGACGCUAAUACCGCAUAAUGCAGCGGCAUCGUAAGAUGACAGCUGUUAAAGAUUUAUCGCUUGAAGAGGAGCUUGCGGCAGAUUAGCUAGUUGGUAAGGUAAUGGCUUACCAAGGCUACGAUCUGUAACCGGUCUUAGAGGACGGUCGGUCACACUGACACUGAAUAACGGGUCAGACUCCUACGGGAGGCAGCAGUCGGGAAUUUUGGGCAAUGGGCGAAAGCCUGACCCAGCAACGCCGCGUGAAGGAUGAAGUAUUUCGGUAUGUAAACUUCGAAAGAAUAGGAAGAAUAAAU
rnacentral:rRNA from 1 species